rnacentral:snRNA from 1 species
GAGCUUCAGCAGUACAGACACUGAAGCUGGCACGAUAGGAAGAUUAGCAUGACCCCUGAGCAAGGAUGGCAGACAAAUUCAUGAAGCGGUCCAUGUAGGU